UACGAAGGGGGCUAGCGUUGUUCGGAUUUACUGGGCGUAAAGCGCACGUAGGCGGAUCGUUAAGUCGGGGGGUGAAAUCCUGGAGCUCAACUCCAGAACUGCCUUCGAUACUGGCGAUCUUGAGUCCGGAAGAGGUGAGUGGAAUUCCUAGUGUAGAGGUGGAAUUCGUAGAUAUUAGGAAGAACACCAGUGGCGAAGGCGACUUACUGGACACAUAUUGACGCUGAGGUGCGAAAGCGUGGGGGAGCAAACAGG
rnacentral:rRNA from 1 species